GUAGGUGGCAAGCGUUGUCCGGAAUUAUUGGGCGUAAAGCGCGCGCAGGCGGUUCUUUAAGUCUGAUGUGAAAGCCCACGGCUCAACCGUGGAGGGUCUUUGGAAACUGGAGAACUUGAGUACAGAAGAGGAAAGCGGAAUUCCACGUGUAGCGGUGAAAUGCGUAGAGAUGUGGAGGAACACCAGUGGCGAAGGCGGCUUUUCUGGUCUGUAACUGACGCUGAGGCGCGAAAGCGUGGGGAGCAAACAGGGAUUAGAUACCCUGGUAGUCCACGCCGUAAACGAUGAGUGCUAAGUGUUAGGGGGUUUCCGCCCCCUUAGUGCUGCAGCUAACGCAUUAAGCACUCCGCCUGGGGAGUACGGCCGCAAGGCUG
rnacentral:rRNA from 1 species